GUAUGGUCAAUGUCGGAAGUUAAGCUUGCAAGGUCAUCCACCAAAAUCCAAAAGUGAGCCCCCAGACAGGGAUGACCGUCCGAAUGUGUCCGCUUACUCAACUUGGAAAGGGGAAGUAAUGUAGUUUUGAAAGAGGUGUACUCAAUGUAUAACCAGCUGAUAACCAAGUGACUGAAACAGAAGAGUUUGUAUCUCAUAGUCAUUGCCUCAGUUGACCUGAACUAGAAGAUGUCAAAACAUUUCAGUGAAAUCUCAGGAAAUGAAAUCAUCACAGCUAUCACAAAACAAAGACUGGAGUUCAGAGAAAGAGUUCAACACUUAGGAUAAAAUUAAUGAGGCAGUGACUUUCAUCUUCCAUGAAUCUAUAAGCACUUAAGACUACAGUUUUAUCAUGUUUAUGUUUCAGUAUAAGAAACUACUAAACAAAGGACAGUCGUUGACUACAAAAGAAAACCUGGGUUGACUUGUGAUAUUCUGUGUAACAUGAUUGCCAAAUACCAAGGUUUAAAACUAAAAGAUUUAUUUUUCAUGAAUUCACCUAUGUUUAGAUUUUUUGAAUAUGAAAUCAUUUGGG